UUGAUGUGGUAUAUGGUUCUUGGCCCCACCAUUAAACCAUUAAAAAUUCAGCUUUAAUAUGGAGUUUUUUCCAUUAUGACAAACCUGAUUUUGUGUGUGUUUGUGUGUCUGUAUGUCAUAUAUGUAAAAGUAUAUUGUUCAAAGUGGAUAUGAUAAUUUUAAUAUGCCGAUUCAUUGAAAAAUAUAUGUCAAAGUAUAUUGUCCAAAGUGUAUAUGAUCACUUAGAUACGCGGAUAUCUUGCAUGUGAAUCAGUUUGGUUCGGUGUUAGCUUAUGUAUGUAGUAUUGUGCCUUCAUGUUACCCAGUUGUAAAUCAUGCUAUGGUUUUCCAUAUCAUUUUAAAUACGUUCCACUGUGUCAUUGUUGGAUUGAAUAGAAUUAUUCUUGUUUAACACAAACAGUUCUUAAGCAUUUUUAUGCCCCCCUUCAAAGAAGAGAGGGUAUAUUGCUUUGCUCAUGUCGGUCGGUCGGUCCGUCCACCAGGUGGUUGUCAGACGAUAACUCAAGAACGCUUGGGCCUAGGAUCAUGAAACUUCAUAGGUACAUUGAUCAUGACUCGCAGAUGACCCCUAUUGAUUUUGAGGUCACUAGGUCAAAGGUCAAGGUCACGGUGACCCGAAAUAGUAAAAUGGUUUCCGGAUGAUAACUCAAGAACGCUUAGGCCUAGGAUCAUGAAACUUGAUAGGUAGAUUGAUCAUGACUCGCAGAUGACCCCUAUUGAUUUUCAGGUCACUAGGUCAAAGGUCAAGGUCACAGUGACCCGAAAUAGUAAAAUGGUUUCCGGAUGAUAACUCAAGAACACUUAGGCCUAGGAUCAUGAAACUUGAUAGGUAGAUUGAUCAUGACUGGCAGAUGACCCCUAUUGAUUUUCAGGUCACUAGGUCAAAGGUCAAGGUCACGAUGACCCGAAAUAGUAAAAUGGUUUCCGGAUGGUAACUGAAGAACGCUUAUUCCUAGGAUCAUGAAACUUUAUAGGUAGAAUGAUCAUGACUCGCAGAUGACCCCUAUUGAUUUUCAGGUCACUAGGUCAAAGGUCAAGGUCAUGGUGACCUGAAAUAGUAAAAUGGUGUCCGGAUGAUAACUCAAGAAUGCUUAUGGCUAGGAUCAUGAAACUUCAUAGGUACAUUAAUCAUGACUGGCAGAUGACCCCUAUUGAUUUUCAGGUCACUAGGUCAAAGGUCAAGGUCACAGUGACAAAAAACAUUUUCAUUUCAAGUUAUAUUUAUUGAUGGGCGUUUUUUAAUUGACAUAAGUUUAGUUUGCUUUGAGAUAAAUUAAUUGUACAGUAUAUUCUGAUGUAAAUCAAUGGCUCAUAAAAGAAGAAAAAAAACUGAGAAAUUACAACAUGUUGACAUGAUCAUCUUAUUGUAAAAUUGUGAAUGUUGUGUGGUAAAAACACAUGUUGAAUACAUUGUUAUAACUAUUAUAAAAUUUAAUGUAUAAUAUAUGUAUUGUGUACAAUCUAAUUAAAAUAGUAUUGUUUUACGCUUUAUGGAUUUAAUAUUGAAACAUACCAGUAGUGUUUUGUUGAGAUUAGUUUUUUUAUUGGAAGCAUUCUUUAAUAUGACAGAAUGAGAAUAAUGCCUCUUAUUUUCUGUGCGAUUUGCAGUAGUUACCGCCCUUACAUUUAAUUAUUUCAACAAUAAUCCUUGUAUGUGUAAGAUUUUGUUCCCAUUAUGAAAGUAAUAUAUUGUGUCCUACAAUGGUUUGUUUAAAUGUUUGUGUAUUUAUGAAUUUCUGUUUUGCUAGUGCUGUGCCAAGUAAUGUUUUUUCAAUCACUGAAUUGAAAGAGCCGUGUUCUGAGAAAACUGGGCAUAAUGCAUGUGCGUAAAGUGUAGUCCCAGAUUAGCCUGUGCACAGGCUAAUCAGGGAUGAAAUUUUACGCACAUGCAUUAUGCCCAAUUUUUUCAGAACAAGACACGAAAGAAGACUGCUUGGCUAAUUACUGUGAAUUUACUUAAACUCUUGGACAUUAAAUUUUUCAGAUUUGUAAAGUCAAGCAUAUGUGUUGGAUCUUAAAUUAUUGCGUAAUUUAAAAUGUCUAAUAUUAAGCCUUAAGAUUUCAACAUAUGUGUUGAACGUUUGAUUGUGUUGUUGAUUGGACCAACAAUAAUCCACAAAAAUUAAUGUUCUACCAAUGAUAUUGGUUUCACAGAAUAACUGAAGGAAACGAUGAUAUAUUCAAUCUGACUUAUUUUAUGUUACAUGUGUUAAGUGACAUACUGGUAUUGUUAAACAUAAUUUUUUUGAAUUUGUCACACAUGAACAUGAAUGAAAAACAUAAUUAUAAUUAAAAACUAGCAUUCUUUGAAAGCUAUUGUGUACAAUUGCUUCAGAAUGUGUGAAUUUUAUUGACAUUGAAUUCACUAAUUACAAUAAAUGUACUGACAUAAAUAUUA